AUUGAACGCUGGCGACAGGCUUAACACAUGCAAGUCGAGCGAGCGGCGGACGGGUGAGUAAUGUCUGGGAAACUGCCUGAUGGAGGGGGAUAACUACUGGAAACGGUAGCUAAUACCGCAUACCAUCAGAUGUGCCCAGAUGGGAUUCUAUAGUGGGUGGGGUAAUGGCUCACCUAGGCGACGAUCCCUAGCUGGUCUGAGAGUAUGACCGGCAACACUGGAACUGAGCCAGGGUCAAGACUCCUACGGGAGGAGGCAGUGGGGAAUAUUGCACAAUGGGCGCAAGCCUGAUGCAGCCAUGCCGCGUGUGUGAAGAAGGCCUUCGGGUUGUAAAGCACUUUCAGCGAGGAGGCGUUACUCGCAGAAGAAGCACCGGCUAACUCCGUGCCAGCAGCCGCGGUAAUAC
rnacentral:rRNA from 1 species